GUACCUGGUUGAUCCUGCCAGUAGUCAUAUGCUUGUCUCAAAGAUUAAGCCAUGCAUGUCUAAGUACAGGCCGAAACAAGGCGAAACCGCGAAUGGCUCAUUAAAUCAGUUAUGGUUCAUUGGAUGUUACCUUGUUUUACUUGGAUAACUGUGGUAAUUCUAGAGCUAAUACAUGAUACCCCAGCUCCGACCGCAAGGAAAGAGCGCUUUUAUUAGAUCAAAACCAAUCGGGCUUCGGUCCGUUCUCACUGUGGUGACUCUGAAUAACUUUGAGCUGAGCGCAUGGUCCUCGAACCGGCGCCAUAUCCUUCAAGUGUCUGCCUUAUCAGCUUUCGAUUGUAGGUUAUGCGCCUACAAUGGCUAUAACGGGUAACGGGGAAUCAGGGUUCGAUUCCGGAGAGGGAGCCUGAGAAACGGCUACCACAUCUAAGGAAGGCAGCUGGCACGCAAAUUACCCACUCCCGGCUGGGGGAGGUAGUGACGAAAAAUAACGAUGCGGGACUCUUCCGAGGCCUCGCAAUCGGAAUGAGCACACUUUAAAUCCUUUAACGAGGAUCUAUUGGAGGGCAAGUCUGGUGCCAGCAGCCGCGGUAAUUCCAGCUCCAAUAGCGUAUAUUAAAGUUGCUGCGGUUAAAAAGCUCGUAGUUGGAUCUCAGUUCCGGACCGACGGUUCACCGCCCGGUGCUUACUGUCGGCUUCCGAACAGCCGCACGCCGGCUCGGCCAGGGUGCUCUUCAUCGAGUGUCCUGGUUUCGGCCGGCACGUUUACUUUGAAAAAAUUAGAGUGCUCAGCGCAGGCUGCAACGCCUGAAUAAUCUGUGCAUGGAAUAAUGGAAUAGGACCUCGGUUCUAUUUUGUUGGUUUUCGGAACCCGAGGUAAUGAUUAAUAGGAACUGUCGGGGGCAUUCGUAUUGCGACG
rnacentral:rRNA from 1 species